rnacentral:rRNA from 1 species
CCUACGGGAGGCAGCAGUGGGGAAUUUUGGACAAUGGGCGCAAGCCUGAUCCAGCCAUGCCGCGUGCGGGAAGAAGGCCUUCGGGUUGUAAACCGCUUUUGUCAGGGAAGAAACGCUCCGGGCUAAUACCCUGGGGUAAUGACGGUACCUGAAGAAUAAGCACCGGCUAACUACGUGCCAGCAGCCGCGGUAAUACGUAGGGUGCAAGCGUUAAUCGGAAUUACUGGGCGUAAAGCGUGCGCAGGCGGUCUUGCAAGACAGAUGUGAAAUCCCCGGGCUCAACCUGGGAACUGCAUUUGUGACUGCAAGGCUAGAGUACGGUAGAGGGGGAUGGAAUUCCGCGUGUAGCAGUGAAAUGCGUAGAUAUGCGGAGGAACACCGAUGGCGAAGGCAAUCCCCUGGACCUGUACUGACGCUCAUGCACGAAAGCGUGGGGAGCAAACAGGACUAGAUACCCUGGUAGUCCACGCCCUAAACGAUGUCAACUGGUUGUUGGGAAGGUUCCUUCUCAGUAACGUAGCUAACGCGUGAAGUUGACCGCCUGGGGAGUACGGCCGCAAGGUUGAAACUCAAAUGAAUUGACGG